AGUUGGUACACAAAUCUUCAUCAUUUUGUUCAAAAGUUCAACUAUUCUAAAGGUUUGAUAUUAGCGAUAUUUUGCCGCAAGACAAAGAACAUCAUUAUUUAUGAAAAUCCAAGAGAAAUUGUUAUUCCCCCAAGUCAUGAUGUCGUGAUAUUCAUUGCACCCAUACUGCGUGUUGAAUCGAUCAUUGGAAGGUUAAUGCGCUACUGUCCCAGGAUCAUGUCCAUAAUUCCAUGUACAAAUAGCAAAGUUCUCCAGGUGUUGUCUGUACUAAAAGGGUGUGCACAGAAGCAGAAUUGCGGUAAAGAAUGUCCAUUCAAUACCGAGCUUUUCCAUAGGGAUCGUAUAUUAAAAGAAGUCAUCAGUUGUACAGGGACAGAGGAGGGGAUGUCAUCCAUUUGGCAUUCCUGGUUGAAAUCCACAUCUCUAAUCGACCAACUGACUAAUUUCAUGUUCAAAUGGGAAUUAUAAGCUUAGACCGAAGAGUCUCGGGGAAUUCAGCAUAUAGAGUUAAUUAGAGUGUUCAUAAUAAGUUUGAUCUAUUACAUAUAUCCAUUUUCUGUUUUGCAUUAUUUUGGCUCUGUGUAAGACCUUCAACUUUGAUUU